CCAUGUACUUAGUAUGGUCAGAUCUAGAAAUGAAGUAACAGCUUCACAUGACUACUCUACCAGGAAGGUCCUAAGAAAGUGUAGCAGAAAUGCCAGCAAAGUACAGCGGAAUGGUGAGGUCAGGGUGACUCACCACAGGGCAAAGGAUAACAGUUUAGAGAAUAAAAGCAUUACUCACUUUCUAUGAAGAGUAUAUUUCUGAUUUCUAUUUCAAAGGGCCAUAAAGUCAGGAUGUACCUCCCACAGGGGAGCUGACUUGAAUGUAUAUGUGCAGUUUCCUCACCAUGAUCUAUGUCACAAAUGCACACCACUGGCUAGAAGGGUAAGUGGAUUCGGCUGAACUCAGCAAGUAUUUCAAGCAGUGGGCCGGGCCUUGGGGACCGGGAGCCCAGUAUGCUCUCUGUCAUGCAGCAGCUGGUCACCAAGAGACAGAACCUGAGAUGGACGAGCUCCUGAAAUGCUGUGCCUAAUCGGGCCUUGGUGCCAUUUACAACAGGGCAAAAUGGGGCAUAGAAAGGGUACCUCCUGGUCAUUCUACCUGCUGGAAAAAGAAAAUGGGAGAAAUGUGGGUGAUUGUGGCAGAGCCCGGUUGCACCUGGAGAACCAUCUCUGACCCUUGCUACAGAGCCUAGAACCCAAGGAGGUUUCUCCGUCGUGACACAGGGUACCCUUGUUUCCCACUGGAGGAACUUAUUUGAAGACGAAACUUCAAAAGUAUUCUCAAAUAGAGCACAAAGAAAUACCAGGAGAAAAGAGACACAAAGCAAGGACAAGUUUGAGAACACCAAGAAAGAGGAAGGAGGAGGAGGAGGGAGUGGGAGAGGACAAGGAAGAGGCAGAGCAAGUGUGGAAUCUGAAGAUACUCCCCAAAAUAGAAGGCAAGGGCGCCUCUGGGAGUCUGAGCAUGGAAAGUGUGACAGCAUCUCCUGCCAAAGUACCCAGAAGAGUCAAGAUCAAAGGGACAGAGCCUUUUGAAAUCACUUUCAUGAUGAACGCUCAGGUGACAAAAAUCCAACAAAGAAAAUGUUUGCUGAGGAAUAUUUCUCAAAGUGAGAACAGAUGUCACAGUGCACUAGUUAUCUGAUGGUGUGCAAAUGAAGGAUGUUGUGUCCCCUUUCCCUAUUUUUUUUUUUUGUCUUUGCUCUUACUGGAAAACUGGGACCUAUUAUCUUUAAAAUAUUAACUAUUUAUUUCACCCAAGUUUCACAAGGAAACACUACGUGAGAGGAAGCCCUUGUCUUUCAAAAUCACAGACCACCCAUUUAGUGCAUGGCACUGUGACCCUAAAACCAACCUCUAGUGAAGAGUGUUUGUGGAGCUCAGCCCUUGGAGGGUUCAGCCUGGACCAGCCCCUCCUCGGC